GACGAACGCUGGCGGCGUGCCUAAUACAUGCAAGUCGAGCGGAACCAAUGGAGCUUGCUCCAUUGGUUUAGCGGCGGACGGGUGAGUAACACGUGGGCAACCUGCCCUGCAGAUCGGGAUAACUCCGGGAAACCGGUGCUAAUACCGAAUAGUUUGCGGCCUCUCCUGAGGCUGCACGGAAAGACGGUUUCGGCUGUCACUGCAGGAUGGGCCCGCGGCGCAUUAGCUAGUUGGUGGGGUAAUGGCCCACCAAGGCGACGAUGCGUAGCCGACCUGAGAGGGUGAUCGGCCACACUGGGACUGAGACACGGCCCAGACUCCUACGGGAGGCAGCAGUAGGGAAUCUUCCGCAAUGGACGCAAGUCUGACGGAGCAACGCCGCGUGAGUGACGAAGGUUUUCGGAUCGUAAAACUCUGUUGUGAGGGAAGAACACGUACCAGGUAACUACUGGUACC
rnacentral:rRNA from 1 species